ACAACAUUCGGACCGCCGGUCUACCGAGCAACAUCACCCGCUCGGUGGAAGAUCUUCCCUUUGUCGU
rnacentral:pre_miRNA from 1 species